GAACAACUGAGAGAGAUGGGAGGAAGAAGAAAGCUGGAAGAAGGUCUGACCCCAUGACCCACAGGAGCACAUGAUCCCUUUCAACAAUCUAUCCUCAUACAACAAAAAAUUCUUCUUAAGGAUCAACCCAGAUGAGGGCACCAAGUGCACUGCUACUGUGGGUACAAGCUACAAGACGGGAAGAGUCGUCCAAAGAAAGGUGACGAGUAUGUGCUCCAGAGUCACCACCUUCCUCCAACAGCUCACCGAAUUUGAGUGGAUGACAUCAAACUAGUCCAGUAUGGACCCCCCCACCAGAGCAUCUCUGGAUUGGAGGCUCCAUCUUCGCCUCUCUGUCCACCUUCCAGAAGAUGUGGAUCAGCAAGCAACAGUACCAUGGGUCCGGCCUUCACAAAUCCUUCUAGCAGACUGUUCCUCCUUCCAAAGCCCAACAACUUCAGCUUUGUGGUAACAACCACACCACAUUUUUUAUACAUUUGCAAAUACAGGUUAUUUAGUUUUCAGCGGGAGUUAAAAUGUUCAAUUCGUUUUGAGAGUCAAUUCAAAUGGUAACUACGUUGUUCAGACAUGUAUCCGCCUCUGAAUGCUGCCCAGUGUUUUGGCGCAUAUUUAGACAUUGUUUUAGU